AGACGCCGCCAUUUUGCCUCUCAGUGCGCAUGCUUCAGCCCACUCGCCCAAUGCUUGAGAUGUUAUAGGGAAGCUGCUGGUCACCAGCUCCAUUUCUAUCUACUGAGAGACUGCCUUUCCCUGGCACCGGCUGUGACCGAUUAUUAUUUUAGAGAGACAGUUCACAACCACCUGACCAUCACUGAUGGUCGCCUGAUAUUCCCAGUGUGUGUCGGAGGAAGCCCUCUCCUGGCCUGCUCAUGUCAGACCCGCUACCUGCUAUAACAUUGCAGCUGCUCCUCCGGGUGUCAAGAGGUUAUAGAGACCUCCCUGAACACCGCAAAUCUUCUGGCAAACGACGUGGAUUUCCAUUCCUUCCCAUUCGUAGCCUUUGGUAAAGGAAUCAUCAAGAAAUGUCGCACGAGCCCAGACGCCUUUGUGCAGCUGGCCCUCCAGCUGGCGCACUACAAGGACAUGGGCAAGUUUUGCCUCACAUACGAGGCCUCCAUGACCCGGCUCUUCCGAGAGGGGAGGACGGAGACCGUGCGCUCCUGCACCACUGAGUCAUGCGACUUCGUGCGGGCCAUGGUGGACCCGGCCCAGACG
rnacentral:sRNA from 1 species